AUAUUUGUAUCCCGCUGUGUUUCUACUUGACAUUCUCCUUUCGAACCGAUCAAGAAGUAAUAUCUAGACUAUUCUAUAGUAGCGUUAAAGAAUUUGUGUUUCAGAGUUGACUUUCUAUAUCCACUAGGUGGCAUCAGUUACCUUGGCUAGUUGGCUUAUCCGGUAAAGUUUGACCCGGAAGUGAUAGCGUUGGCGUUGGUUAGAAUUAUUUUUUUAAAAAAAAUGUUUCUUACGUGUGCGUGUGUUUGUGUGUAUCUGACUGUGGACCAAGCUACGUGCUCCUUGGAUGGUAUGUGGACUUUAUUAGCGAAAUACAAAGGACAUACUGUUUCUCUGGUCAGGGAAGAAGAAAAAGAAGAGGAAGAAGAUAGAGCUACUCCUGCGACUAUGUUGGUGUUGGGAUAGCAGAACUUUCUGUGCUCUCACGGUCCGUGGCGGUGGUUCUGGCAGCAAUUACCAGCUGAGUUCACACAGUGUCGUGGAAGAAUUGGCUGUGGACGUGUGAGAACUGGACACGGGCAGACAUAUCAAUGCCACGCCAUCUGCAUACCAGUGCCAUCUUUUCUGUCCUCCAGCAACGUCAUCAUGGAAUCUCAUAAAUAUGGGUUUGUCCAUUGAAAAUAAUCU